AUAUCAAUAAGCGGAGGAAAAGAAACUAACAAGGAUUCCCCUAGUAACGGCGAGCGAAGCGGGAACAGCUCAAAUUUGAAAUCUGGCCGCGAGGCCCGAGUUGUAAUUUGUAGAGGAUGCCUCGGACGAGACGUCGGCCCAGGUCCCUGGAACGGGGCGUCAUAGAGGGUGAGAAUCCCGUCUCUGGCCGGCCGUCGACUCCAUGUGAGGCUCCUUCGACGAGUCGAGUUGUUUGGGAAUGCAGCUCUAAAUUGGUGGUAAAUUCCAUCUAAAGCUAAAUAUUGGUGCGAGAACCGAUAGCGCACAAGUA
rnacentral:rRNA from 1 species